GUAGAAAGCAAAAUUUUUAUUUCUCUGAAACUUUUGAAACAAAAGUAAAAAAGUGUAGAGCGUCAAUUUAAAAUUCGACAAUCGAUUAUGAUUCCACAUCUCAAUUCAGUAGCACCUUUCCACUUGGAGCUCCCCCAUUCUUGGUGUGCAUGACAGUGAUGACCUAAGCUUUGUCCAUUCCACACAGUCCCUGCUGCUGCCAGUAUACUGUAGGCUCACCAUGGCUUCCUAGAGGAUGCAUGCCCUUCUCCCAUCUGCUCUUAUCUUCCAACACAGAUUGGGGGGGGAGAGAAUCUGAAAAGUAAUCUUCCAGGGGCCACAUUUUACUAAAGCUCAUACUAGAAUGGUCAGGGAAUUCUGGAAGUGGAAGGGAUCUCAAGAGGUUCUCUUGGUCCAAAUCCAAAGAAGAAUAAAAAUGCCCUGACAAGUGAUCAACUUUGAUUGCCUCUUGCUAUCACUACUUAAAAACCUAAUUUUGUCCUUGUUUUCUCAUUCUUAAAUUGUGUUCCCAUGCUCCCGUGCCCUGGUUCCUGCUUUGCUCUUUAAUACAUACUGGCUUCCCAUCAUCUUCUUAGACAGCUCUUCUCCUCAAUGGCAUUGUUUGUGUCUUCAAAAGUUACAUUUAUAAGCUGUGUUCAUCCUGGCCAAAUCACUUGGCCUAUCUUCCUGUUUAUAAAACUGUAAAAUAGGAAUAAUAUCUAGAUCGUAGAAGCAUUAUAAGGAUCAAAUAAGACAGCUUAAAAUAAAGUGCUUAGCCCAGCGCCCAGCACAUAGGUAGCUAAAAUGAACAAAAAAGUCAUCUGCUCAAGGUCAUGCAAUCAGAUUUACCUACAGAAUUGAAACUAGAUCCCAGAACCUGAUUCUUUCUACUACAUAACAAGUUUGCUUACAUUGAACAAAUUCAAUUGGAAAUCCAAUUAAAACUAAAAUGGGCUAAACACACCUCCAUAAGAAAGAAACCUUGAGAACUCGUAACAUACCUGUCAUUGCAAAUUGUGCUUCAAAAGAUUUAUUACAUUUUCUUUACAUAAUGGAAUGUUAUUAAACAUACAACCUAAAAUCAAAAAAUAUUUUAUGAUUGUGUUGGCAGACUGUCAAAAAUCCCCACCAUCUUAAGCCUUCAAAUCAUGUUUCAAUCACAAAAUCUAGAAGCAGGCACUACAUUCAACAAUUCAAAUGUUACAUUUGUUUAAAUUUAAGGUAAUGAAGGAAGACCAUCACCACUAAAAUAACAAUUAUUUUUUAAGUGAUUUACAGUUUUAUCUAAUACCUGUCAGUAUAUUUGUUGGGUUAAGUGUGCAAAAUCAAAUACUCAUAUUAUCAUGUAACAUUAAUGCUAAGGGGCUCAGUGUCCCAAACUUUUCCAGUUCUGUAUUAAUGGUGUUUUGGGACACAAUCUAGAGACAAGUUAAAAAUAUAUUCCCUCAAAAGUCUUCUCUCCUCUUUCUACCUUAAAAUAUUUUGACACUUUGGCAAAAUCACUAAAAGAAUAACGUAUUCAAACGCCUAAAGUGGAUGCCCUAUUUUAGUUGGAACUCAGGAGAUACGAGUUAAUUUGCUACUUUUAAUAAUGGAAACCUUAUGCUCCCUUAACAGUAUUACUCUAGUAAAUUCAGAAGAGCUAAAAGGAAAUGGCAGGGAACAUUACCAACAGAAAUGAAGUCAUGAUCACACAUUUCCUUUAUUUUCAAACAAUGAUACUCAUGGCAAAUUAUUUCUAGAGAAAUAGUGGGAUUUAUUCUCCUAAAUCCAAUUGGAAAGCGUCAUGCAACUAUGUCCAAGGGCAAACCACCCCCCCCACCCCCCACCCCCGCCUCCUGAGUGCUCAGUGUGGUAGCAAGAGGCCACGGGAGAUAAUAAAGGCCUAAUACAAUGUGUAUGUGAUGGCUACACAACAAAUGCUAGUUAAUAAAAACUUUAUUUUAGACUGUUAACUACUUUCCUAGUGCCUCUAUGUGAAGUGGUUACCUAAUUUUCGAUACAAACCAUCAAGACCCAGCAAGACGUCUUCAGAUCAGAAACUAGGAGGGAAGAUGUGAAUCUCAAAGUUAAAAGGGCAAUGCCCAUAAAAGCCUGGUAUGGGGUGGUCAGAGGGCUCCUUCUGGAGUUUAUCACAUCCUAUGCACACACACCGGGGAUCUGAGGGACGCCCGGCAGCCUAGGCAAAGCUAGCACAUGUCAGCAGCCAGGUCUGUUGGCCAGGGUUCCAGCACACACGUGCCAUCCAGUCCCUUAUUUCUGGCAUCCUCUCAGAACCAUUGUGAUGGCUACUGGUUGAGGUAAGAUGGCUUUAAGACCAUUAACACACUUGUUCCCAAUGACAAAACCAAAGAUUAAUGCACCUGAUUACCUUUGGUGCUAGAAGCUAUUAGCAAGCCGAGUUGGCUAGGGAGGGGACAUAUUUCCUAAUAAAUACAGUCAUUCUUUGUUUCAAAUAGAGACCAUGUGGUUAGGCAACAUUCCGGGUAAAGAUGUUCACUCAGAGCUUCAAGCUGGGGAUUGUUUUGUCUGAGCAAAGCAAACUAACCUGCUGUUGCCAGGCAAGGACCACAAAGAAAUUUGGAUGGCAGUUCCCUUUAGAAACUAGCAAGCAGUAACCUAUCAGGAUAGAAAAGAAAAUGAGGGGGGAAAACCAACAACCUGAUAAUCAGCCAGUGUUAUGCACAAAACGCAGCAGUCAGUAGUUAUACACUACAGGAAAGGGGAUGUAGGGGUUGGAGCCUGACAUUGCCUAGAAAUGUGGAAACCUCAGUUUCUCUGCCACUGGUGCUAGUCUCUUUCAAUUGCUGUCACAUAAAAGGCUUCUUAUUUCAAAAUUUUAGAUCAAACACCUAAGAGGGAUUGAGAUCCAGCAGGAACUACUCAUUUGUUUUGAUUUACUCCUAGCAUGUGCUUAUUUUAUUUAGAUGCAAAAGUUGAUGUCAAAAAAAUGUCAGUGUAGUGGGGGAAUGCCAAUGGCCAGUUAAAUUCAAUUAUUCUGUUUGAAAAACCCAGAGUUUACAAUAUACUUCGCCUUACAAUCUCACUUGUUGUUAUGCCUUCCACACUCCUUGAUUAGGAACAGUAAGUAUAAGUGACAUUUAUCUGUAAUUUAGUCUUUUAUAAGGUGGCAAAACAAGUCUUCACUUGUUUCACAUAAAGCACUAGGAUUUACAAGCACUUUCACCAAACCUGUCUAUCCCAUAUCACAGAAUCUGUGAAUCUUGAUUGGUGAUGGGAACAUUUAAAGCCAAUCUUAGACAUUCUCAUGAAAGGAACUCAAAAAAUUAACUGGGCAUCUGCCCUGGGGAGAGGGCCCUGAGGCACCUCUAGCUCAAGGUGUCCUUUUACCACCAGCAGCUGCUGUUUGAUUUUAUCCGAGUUAUGGCAGGAAAUGCAAUCACUUUUUGUAAAAUACAAUCUAUGCUCCAGCUUGUGCCCAAAUUUAAAAAAUAUGCCCUUCAGAAUAUAUUAUGUUUACUGGUCUGUUUGACGAUUUGACAAAACAGCUCAUUUAAUGGUAAAACCUGAGUUUUUAAGAAGAUCUAGUUUUUCUUGCACAUUUAAGCAAGAAAUAGGUCCAGGAAAAAGACUGGGGAGCGAUGUGUGCCGUGUGGUAAAAACUGGCAAUCAACACACUAUGGAGCCAGGAGGGACAGACACUAUGACAGAACAUGUGCAACAUGUGGGGAAGGGCGAGACAUUUUGCUCAUUUGGGCUUUCAGCUCUCCCUCCAUUUUAGCCAGCAGGGCUGGUGGGGAGAGAGCUAGGUCUCUAAGACCUAGCACCUCUAGACCAUUUACAAAUGUCAAGCAUUUUCCUUGGGAUGUUUUUCAGAGUUUAACUGUUUGGAGCUAAAAUUCUGAACUAUUUAGAUUUGAGUAAUUUUUUUUUAAUUUGCACAUUAAUAUUACAGGAAGUCUAAAUUUAAAGUAAAAAUGGCAGUUUCUGUUUUUGUUUGUUGUUUUGUUUUUAAACCAGGCUUAUUUUUAAUUCGGUAAACCUUUUCCAGUGAUAUCUGGAACUGGUCCUGGCCCAGCAGAACUAGAACACUUCA
ensembl:lncRNA